rnacentral:lncRNA from 1 species
AACCCUUUUAGUUCCUUGAGUCAUUUUUGCAGAGAUUUAGGAAGAAGGGAGUUCCCUGAAGCACAGGAUAUUGCAAUUAUCCAGCACAAUCAGGCACUGUGAUGAGAGGCUCUUUUCUCACCAGACAGGGCUCCUGUGACUUGUUGAGAGGACACUAAGUCUCAGAGCCCUCUGCAAAACCAAUAGGGCAGGCAGAUCUGCCCACCUGGGCUUGGUUUUCUCUGUCAGGCGUCAUGAGCUCUGUGAUUAAGUGUCCCUGUGCAGAAGACAUAUGGGUCACUCCAUCAGCCAGGUGUCCUCCCCUGGACCCAGAAGGUCCCUCUCACAUGGGAGGAGGUUCAUGAUUGACCUCAUUGCAGUGUAGGGAGCCUCCAGAGCGAGACACCCAUAACUCACUCUGCUGCAGAUAACGAAACCAGAGUAAAAGGGGAAGAGAGGAGGAGGUACUUUGCUGCUCAGAGGUCCAACUUCUGAACACCACAGGGGGCAGGCACAGUUGAAACGGAGAAAUAUGACUGCUUCAGCAAAGGGCUUCUUUCCACAAAGCAACGUCAGCACAUCAAGUAAAAUGAAUAGAAGCGAGGAAAAGAAUGCCCCCGGCACUGCAGGGCUUUUAAGGAAUAGCUGUACUGCAGCACCUGGAGAAAGCACGAUGCCGGGGAAAGCCCCAGGAGAGCAGAGGGAGCAGAACCAAGGCAUCACCUUCGGGGAGGACCCAGCACUCUCUCCCUUUCAUGCUAUUUUUGCUGAGGUUUGUUAAGGCAGGUCAAGUCAUGUGUUUCAGUGGCUUUUCUGCAAUUUAUCAGCUGUUCAGUGGGAUAAGAAUCCAGAGGGUACUAGUGCAAACUGUAACACUAUGCAUGCCUUGAGUCUAUGCCUAACACACAAGAAACACAGCAGAAGGAAAAUUAUUGCAUCAGAAAUCAUGACUUGUACCUUCUUGUUUAUGCACUUAAGUCUUUAUCCAUGGCCGUAUAGUGGAAAUUGAAAGCCUUGUCCUCACGCACCUCUUGUGUGGCACUCAGGCUUCAUUCGCACUGGUACCUAGCACUGUGUCGGGACUCAGCCCCACAGGCAGCUCAGCACCACACAGCUGUUUGCUCACUCCCCCCUCAGUGGGAAUGAGGGAGAGGAUUUGGGGAAAAGUAAACUCAUAGUUUGAGAUAGGACAGAAAAGGGAAAAUAAUAAUAAUGAUAAAAGAAUACACAGAACAAAUGAUGCA